rnacentral:lncRNA from 1 species
AUUUUCCUCCUCCACUUCAUCUCCCCCAUCAGGAAUGUCCUCUUGUUCGAUUUCCUUCUCAUCAUAAUCAACCCCACCAUAUUCUUCAGUUUCAUAUUCAGGUUCAUUAUCUUCCAGAUCCAGCCGCUCAUCUUUUUCAUAUUCAUUUUUCUCAUAUUCGUCAACAGACUCCUUUAUCUCAUCUUCCUCUGUCAUAUGAAGAAAGCGGGUAGAAAAACCAAUCCAGUCAACAGACAUUGAAAUUCCUCAUUAUCCUCAAUUGAACUUUAGAUGCAAUUGAAUAACAAAAAAUCUACUGACAGUCCUUAUACUCCAAAGUAUGUGAAUUAUCACCCACUCAACGAUACACAACCAUAUAAACAAGUGCACGGAUGAAAGAUAAAAACAAGUUUAACCCAUCCAACUAGAAAAAUUCACGAAGUUUGAAGAUUUUAAUCAUAUUCAUUGAUUCAUCUAAACUUCAGAAAAAUAAUUCAAAUUUCCUGCUUAAAUGAGUAAACUUCAUCAAAUGACUAACAAUUAUUUGAAAUGAUUAUGAGUUGACGAUAUAAUCAACAGCCUCUACAAAAUGUCAAAAUCAGAUAUGUGUGCUUGCAAAUUCACAACACAAAACCAUGAAUUCAAUAUGUCAAGGAAGUCAUAUUCCCCAUGUUGUUGACAGCUGAAUUCUUUUUAAAAGUAACUAAAAAAGAGACACAGUUUAGGAGGCACUAAAAAGGAUUCAUUUGAGUUUAUAACCGAUGUCUUUGUUUUUCUAAGCUUCAAACAUUGCUUAAAAAAUUGAAUUGACAAGCAAUAAACGUAAGACAGAUUUUCCUAACUCUCAUUAUCAUACUAAAAAAGAAGCAAUUGUUCAACAGCAUUUUUCAAUAAAUAAUUGGUGGUGGUGGUCACAUGGAAUUGAGCAUGAACCCUAAACUCUUGCCAGGCCUCACGGGCAGCAAUCUUCCACCAUUUAACCCCCCAAACUUGUUGCUUAUUUUCCUUUUCAGAUAAGAGAAUCAAAAUACUUUUUUUUCCCCAAAACCCAUGAAGAAAUACACAAUUUUCAACACUUCCAACUAUGACAGUAACCACCAGGAAAUAUAUAUAUAUAAUCUUCCCCCCAAAAUUAUUAAGAAAUAUACAAUCUUUCGACAAUUUCAAGCACAGCAUACAAAGUAUAGUUUUCCCAAAACCUAACUAGAGAUACAAAAUUAUUUUAGCAAUUCAAAGAACCAAAACAUGCAAGCGUAUAUUAGGAACAACACCAUUAAACAAUUAAAACCAAACAUAAUACCGAAUCUCAUUAGAUCCGAAGCAAAUCCCAACACAAACAAAGAGCAAAGCAAGAAAACUUACUCUUCACGGGAGACAAUCUAUUUGUAUUCGAUUCCUGUUCAGGUUCGGCCUUCGAUUCCGGUUCCGGUUCAGGUUCCGGCUCAGGUUCAGGUUCCGGCACCGGCUCAGGUUCUGGAGCCUUUUCUACGACCUUUACUUCAACAGCCUCCGCAACCUUAACUUCUUCCUUGACCUCAACAACAGGAACCGAAACUUCCUCUGCUUUGACCGGCUCUACCGAGGCUUCUGGCUGGGGUUGGACCUUAGGAGUCCCCCUU